rnacentral:rRNA from 1 species
UACGGAGGGGGGCGAGCGUUAUUCGGAAUUAUUGGGCGUAAAGCGCGCGCAGGCGGCCUUUUAAGUCUGAUGUGAAAGCCCACGGCUCAACCGUGGAGGGUCAUUGGAAACUGGGGGACUUGAGUACAGAAGAGGAAAGCGGAAUUCCACGUGUAGCGGUGAAAUGCGUAGAGAUGUGGAGGAACACCAGUGGCGAAGGCGGCUUUCUGGUCUGUAACUGACGCUGAGGCGCGAAAGCGUGGGGAGCAAACAGG